rnacentral:rRNA from 1 species
AGAAUCAACGCUGGCGGCGUGCCUAACACAUGCAAGUCGCACGAGAAAGGGGAGCAAUCCCUGAGUAAAGUGGCGCACGGGUGAGUAACACGUGAAUAAUCUACCUCCGAGUGGGGAAUAACUGAGAGAAAUCUUAGCUAAUACCGCAUAACACUUACGAGUCAAAGCAGCAAUGCGCUUGGAGAGGAGUUCGCGGCCGACUAGUUAGUUGGCGGGGUAAUCGGCCCACCAAGACGAUGAUCGGUA